UGAUAAAAAAAAAAAAAAAAGGGUCAUCCACCAGGAACUAACAUGUACUCAAGUGUUCCUAGAAGUGCACAUGCAAGAACACAUCUUCAGACAAUAAUGCAAUCAAGUUAUUCAAUGCUGUUCAAAUUUCAAAAAGGAAUGUAAUACACUGUCAAGUGCCAACUAGAAGAUAGCAAGCCCACACUCAGGACAAUAAGCAAAGGUUCUGGUCUAACAGACCUUAAAACAGCAUCACUAUUUUGUAGUAUCUUAGAACCUUUCUCCAAAAAAAUGAUUAAGGGGAAACUGUGUUAUGAAUCUCCAACUUUUUGCAGAAUGACAAACCACCACAAACAACCAUGACCCUACCCUCAGUCAGAAGUUAGAGCAAUGUGAUACCACAACUAUUUUCACUAGGCACCCCAAGGAUGUUGUGAAACAAUGAACUCCAAAUUCCAUAAUCUUCAUGGCUACUUCAUGCCAUCGAUCAUUAUUCAUUGAUCAAGUAUAAUAUUAGCAGCCUGAGAAGCUUUUGUGACAACUAAGGAGAAUUCUGUACACAGUUUUACAGAUAAUGCCAAAUGGACACAUCACAAGGUUCAAUACAAUUAAAACCCUCAGCUAAAGAGUUCCCCAGAUGUUUAAAACAAUAGAAAUUAUUAGUUACCCUGCAGUAUGACAUUGAGGCAAGGAUAUUUUAAUGGAAUAGAUUAAAUAACAACUAACAAGGCUACCACACCACACCAUAAAAAAAGAUACUACAAACUAGACGGCAUCAGAAGGUAGACUGCAUUAGCAACGACAAAGAAUCGCCAGCAAACCUUCCCAGGAGACGAAUCCUUCCAAGAUGCUCAUUGAGCAUACAGAUGAAUGAGUCCCCCAAAUAUAUUCUACUGAUGUAUGUAAGCUACAAACAUUCUGAACAGAACAAAAUCGAAACACAUUAAAAAAACUCAUUGAAAACCAAAUAACCUGA
rnacentral:misc_RNA from 1 species